CCAGAUGUGGGAGUAAAGCUCUUGAACGGAUGCCCACAUUGGGGGCCUACUGCUGUGACAGCCACAGUGCUUGCUGGGCUGCAUCCUCUGAUAGUAUAUUUUUGUUAGCUGGCUGCCCGGAAGCCCUCAACGGCUUGAUUUGUUUUGUGAUCCUGCAAGGACCUUCCUGGGCUUGAUGACAACCGAGAAUUCAAGCGCUUGUUUGCUUUGAUAACUUGUUUAUUCAUUCCACUUAUUAAGAAAGAGGAAAGAGGAAAAGCAAAAAAGACCCACAUAUAUCCUCUGAAAAAAAAUGUGAAAGAAACAAACAGAAGUCUAUAUAGAUGUUUUCAAAAUGGCAAGAUAAAUCUAGAAAGGGGCCAAAAGGGGCCAAAGAAGUGAGCGAACAUGGGACUUGGAUAGUGGAAUCAUCAAGAGGAGUCUCCCGCAGCCCAGUAAAUGCACCCUCGCCCAUACAGAAAAUUCCAAGAUGUUUACCCUAACAUUACAACAAAGGUUUAAGCAAACUAGAAUAACUUUCAUGUGUGUUGCAAAGUUCCACAUAAAGUAUCUUAUACGACUGCAUCUUCACUCUCAAUAUUUGUGCAAAGGUUAAGUUAUUCUUAAAUAUUACCUGAUUUUUCAGAAAAGCAUACAAUGUUAUUUUAUAGUAUGUGUGAUGUUUUUAUACUAUACUAUAGUAGUAUACAUGUUGUUAUACUGUACUAAAGUAGUUGUUAUAAUACAGUAGUUAUAACUGAUGUAGGAUUACAUGUAUACUUGUACAUCUUUCCAUAAUAAAACGUCAUGGAAAGUAAGACAUUUCAAGGUUUAACUUUCUAAAAUUUUAUUGGCAUGAUUCUUUAACAGGAAUUAUUGUGAUUCUUGAACUAAUAAAUUCACUUUCCAGCUAUAAAACUGCCAUCAUGUAAUAGAAAGUUCCAUGUUCCUUGCCUUUAUUUAUUUAUUUAUUUUUUGCAAAUAUUGAUAUUUUUGUUAUCAAGCAAGUUCAUACUAUUUAAAAACUUCCUCAAGUAUAUUUGCUCAAACAGAGAUCAAUAACCCAUCAGAGACAGUCAUGCUAGCACAGCUACAUUUAGAAAAAACACUUGUUCUGAGUAAACAUAAUUGCCAAAACAAUAUAAAAGGACAUUGUUGAUACAAUUGUUGAUACAAACUGAAACUAUUAUUUGUUACAUGCAUAUUAUACCAAACUAUCUCUCCAGUGAGUAGCAUACACAAAUUC